UCCGAACCCUUGUCCGCCUCAUCCGACCCCUCUUAUCCGCCCGACCCCGGUUCCGUCUCGCCCGACCCUGUCUGUUCCGCCGACCCUUUUCCGCCUCGCCCGAGGACUCGGUUGUAUUCUUUUUCUUUGAACCGAGGGUGUAUGUGUAAAACUUGGGGACCUUUCAGCGUUGAGUCUGAGGACCCCUAGCACAUCAAAUCCUCUAGAUUAAGGGUCAGAUCAUAA
rnacentral:lncRNA from 1 species